rnacentral:rRNA from 2 species
GUGCUUUGCUAGAGCUAUACAUGCAAGUCGAACGAGUUCUCGUUGAUGAUCGGUGCUUGCACCGAGAUUCAACAUGGAACGAGUGGCGGACGGGUGAGUAACACGUGGGUAACCUGCCCUUAAGUGGGGGAUAACAUUUGGAAACAGAUGCUAAUACCGCAUAGAUCCAAGAACCGCAUGGUUCUUGGCUGAAAGAUGGCGUAAGCUAUCGCUUUUGGAUGGACCCGCGGCGUAUUAGCUAGUUGGUGAGGUAAUGGCUCACCAAGGCGAUGAUACGUAGCCGAACUGAGAGGUUGAUCGGCCACAUUGGGACUGAGACACGGCCCAAACUCCUACGGGAGGCAGCAGUAGGGAAUCUUCCACAAUGGACGCAAGUCUGAUGGAGCAACGCCGCGUGAGUGAAGAAGGCUUUCGGGUCGUAAAACUCUGUUGUUGGAGAAGAAUGGUCGGCAGAGUAACUGUUGUCGGCGUGACGGUAUCCAACCAGAAAGCCACGGCUAACUACGUGCCAGCAGCCGCGGUAAUACGUAGGUGGCAAGCGUUAUCCGGAUUUAUUGGGCGUAAAGCGAGCGCAGGCGGUUUUUUAAGUCUGAUGUGAAAGCCCUCGGCUUAACCGAGGAAGCGCAUCGGAAACUGGGAAACUUGAGUGCAGAAGAGGACAGUGGAACUCCAUGUGUAGCGGUGAAAUGCGUAGAUAUAUGGAAGAACACCAGUGGCGAAGGCGGCUGUCUGGUCUGUAACUGACGCUGAGGCUCGAAAGCAUGGGUAGCGAACAGGAUUAGAUACCCUGGUAGUCCAUGCCGUAAACGAUGAAUGCUAGGUGUUGGAGGGUUUCCGCCCUUCAGUGCCGCAGCUAACGCAUUAAGCAUUCCGCCUGGGGAGUACGACCGCAAGGUUGAAACUCAAAGGAAUUGACGGGGGCCCGCACAGCGGUGGAGCAUGUGGUUUAAUUCGAAGCAACGCGAAGAACCUUACCAGGUCUUGACAUCUUUUGAUCACCUGAGAGAUCAGGUUUCCCCUUCGGGGGCAAAAUGACAGGUGGUGCAUGGUUGUCGUCAGCUCGUGUCGUGAGAUGUUGGGUUAAGUCCCGCAACGAGCGCAACCCUUAUGACUAGUUGCCAGCAUUUAGUUGGGCACUCUAGUAAGACUGCCGGUGACAAACCGGAGGAAGGUGGGGAUGACGUCAAAUCAUCAUGCCCCUUAUGACCUGGGCUACACACGUGCUACAAUGGAUGGUACAACGAGUUGCGAGACCGCGAGGUCAAGCUAAUCUCUUAAAGCCAUUCUCAGUUCGGACUGUAGGCUGCAACUCGCCUACACGAAGUCGGAAUCGCUAGUAAUCGCGGAUCAGCACGCCGCGGUGAAUACGUUCCCGGGCCUUGUACACACCGCCCGUCACACCAUGAUAGUUUGUAACACCCGAAGCCGGUGGCGUAACCCUUUUAGGGAGCGAGCCGUCU